GUCUUUGUGGAGCAAUGCAGCUCGCUCCAAUCUAAUUCGGGUGAAUGGGAAUUUUAUGGAGAGGAGGUGGUUCGAAUCCACCUGAGGACA